GGGAGGAGGAGCUUCCCAGGAUUUAAUUUUGGGAGGUGGUGAGUACUAAGGAGAACAGUAUGUUGUUCAGCUGGCAGGAGCUGCAAGGAGCAAGCCGCUGGCCAGGGUUUGAUCCUUGGUACUCAUUACCUCCCGACAUUAAAUUCUGGGCAGGAUUAAGU
rnacentral:pre_miRNA from 1 species